GACGAACGCUGCCGGCGUGCUUAACACAUGCAAGUCGACCGGUGAAGCGCCUUCCUUUUGGUGGGUGUGGAUGAGUGGCGAACGGGUGAGUAACACGUGAGUAACCUGCCCCCUUCUUCUGGAUAACCGCAUGAAAGUGUGGCUAAUACGGGAUAUUCUGUGCCUGCUGCAUGGUGGGUGUGGGAAAGAUUGCGCCCUUUUUGGGUGUUUUUGGUGGGGGAUGGGCUCGCGGCCUAUCAGCUUGUUGGUGGGGUGAUGGCCUACCAAGGCGGUGACGGGUAGCCGGCCUGAGAGGGUGGACGGUCACACUGGGACUGAGACACGGCCCAGACUCCUACGGGAGGCAGCAGUGGGGAAUAUUGCACAAUGGGCGCAAGCCUGAUGCAGCGACGCCGCGUGAGGGAUGGAGGCCUUCGGGUUGUGAACCUCUUUCGCCAGUGAAGCAGGCCUGCUCCUUGGUGGGUGGUUGACGGUAGCUGGAUAAGAAGCGCGCUACU
rnacentral:rRNA from 1 species